AAUGAACGUUGGCGGCGUGGAUUAGGCAUGCAAGUCGUACGGGUCGGUGUAGCAAUACAACGGCAAGUGGCGAAAGGGAGAGUAACACGUAGAUACCUACCCUCUGGUCGGGGAUACCGCGGCAUAACCGCAAGUAAUACCCGAUAAAAUCUCCGGAUCAAAGGUGUGAUUCCGCCGGAGGAGGGGUCUUCGUCCUAUCAGCUUGUUGGUGAGGUAAUGGCUCACCAAGGCUAAGACGGAUACGGGGUGUGAGAGCAUGCCCCCGCUCACUGGGACUGAGACACUGCCCAGACACCUACGGGUGGCUGCAGUCGAGAAUCUUCGGCAAUGGGCGCAAGCCUGACCGAGCGACGCCGCGUGCGGGAUGAAGGCCUUCGGGUUGUAAACCGCUGUCGAGGGGAAUGAAGUGCAAGUGAGUUAUCUCAUUUGUUUGACAGAUCCCUGGAGGAAGCAUGGGCUAAGUUCGUGCCAGCCGCCGCAGUAAGAC
rnacentral:rRNA from 1 species